CCGGCUUUAGCUCAGUUGGUAGAGCGGAGGACUGUAGUUUGUCUAAUGCUGUCAUCCUUAGGUCGCUGGUUCGAAUCCGGCAAGCCGGA
rnacentral:tRNA from 1 species